rnacentral:lncRNA from 1 species
AAAUUGUGUGUAUCUUCUGCUCUAAUAUCAAAUUUAAUUCGAAAGAGAAGCUCGAUUCCAUUGCUAGACCUGGAAACUUUACUGCAUGCAGACUUGAAGUUCGGGCAUUGUUGAAGAGCAGACAAGGUAUCUUUUGCUCUUUCAUGAUUUCAUCUUGAUGGGAUUUUGUGGUGCUUGUAUGAUUCGAUCGUAUUUUUUUGCACUUUAUUUGACCUGUGCUUUAUAACGAUUCUUGAACAGAAAGUCUUCCAUUUAGUUGAGCAUUUUGGAUUUGGAAUUUAUAGGAGAG